rnacentral:rRNA from 1 species
GGGCCCGCACAAGCGGUGGAGUAUGUGGUUUAAUUCGAUGCAACGCGAAGAACCUUACCAGGGUUUGACAUCCUGCGAAUCUCUUGGAAACGAGAGAGUGCCUUCGGGAACGCAGUGACAGGUGGUGCAUGGCUGUCGUCAGCUCGUGUCGUGAGAUGUUGGGUUAAGUCCCGCAACGAGCGCAACCCUUAUCCUUAGUUGCCAUCACGUUUGGGUGGGCACUCUAGGGAAACUGCCGGUGCUAAGCCGGAGGAAGGCGGGGAUGACGUCAAGUCCUCAUGGCCCUUACGGGUAGGGCUACACACGUGCUACAAUGGCAGUGACAAUGGGAUAAUCCCCAAAAGCUGUCUCAGUUCGGAUUGUCGGCUGCAACUCGCCGGCAUG